CAGUCGCCGCGGGAAUACGGAGGGUGCAAGCGUUAAUCGGAAUUACUGGGCGUAAAGCGCACGCAGGCGGUCUGACAAGUCAGAUGUGAGAUCCCCGGGCUUAACCUGGGAACUGCAUUUGAAACUGUCAGGCUGGAGUCUUGUAGAGGGGGGUGGAAUUCCAGGUGUAGCGGUGAAAUGCGUAGAGAUCUGGAGGAAUACCGGUGGCGAAGGCGGCCCCCUGGACAAAGACUGACGCUCAGGUGCGAAAGCGUGGGGAGCAAACAGGAUUAGAUACCCCGGUAGUCCCUGUCUCUUAUAC
rnacentral:rRNA from 1 species